AGUGAACGCUGGCGGUAGGCCUAACACAUGCAAGUCGAACGGCAGCACAGUAAGAGCUUGCUCUUACGGGUGGCGAGUGGCGGACGGGUGAGGAAUACAUCGGAAUCUACUUUUUCGUGGGGGAUAACGUAGGGAAACUUACGCUAAUACCGCAUACGACCUACGGGUGAAAGCAGGGGAUCUUCGGACCUUGCGCGAUUGAAUGAGCCGAUGUCGGAUUAGCUAGUUGGCGGGGUAAAGGCCCACCAAGGCGACGAUCCGUAGCUGGUCUGAGAGGAUAAUCAGCCACACUGGAACUGAGACACGGUCCAGACUCCUACGGGAGGCAGCAGUGGGGAAUAUUGGACAAUGGGCGCAAGCCUGAUCCAGCCGUACCGCGUGGGUGAAGAAGGCCUUCGGGUUGUAAAGCCCUUUUGUUGGGAAAGAAAAGCAGCAGGUUAAUACCCCGCUGUUCUGACGGUACCCAAAGAAUAAGCACCGGCUAACUUCGUG
rnacentral:rRNA from 1 species